CUAAGAUUCUGCAUGCCACCUGGCACUGCCAAACAAACAAGCAAGCUGUGAGAACCGAGCAGAUGUGGACAUGGGGCAGGGAGACAGCACUGGGAAAGUCACACAAAAUGAGAACAUCUAAGUAGGGAAUAAGGAAAGAAUCUCAAGGAACAGUUGGGGUUCACCAGACUGAUGGAAGAUACCAAGGGCUAUCGAAGUUGGACUUCCAACAAACCAACAUUAAUAAGAGGAAUGGAAAGCUGAUAUGAGGUGAAGACAAUGAUAGUUUCUUGCAUAGCAGGAAAUGGAUGUGUAUCCCAAGUCUCCGCUUUUAACAGCAUUCCUUUCCGUUGUCUAAUCACUGGCGUUCCUGAGGGUCAUUCUGCAUAAGUGACAAUCACAGCUUUCCUUUCCAAAUCAACUGGAGUGUCUUACUUUGUUUCUGAAUGCAGUUUGCUUAACUUUUCUUUUUUGUGUGUUGAGCCUUUGGAGACUCUCUUUUUCCUCCCUGCGGCUGCUGCUAAGUCACUUCAGUUGUGUCCGA
ensembl:lncRNA